AUCGAACGCUGGCGGCAGGCCUAACACAUGCAAGUCGAACGAGAGGCGGACGGGUGAGUAAUGUCUGGGAAACUGCCUGAUGGAGGGGGAUAACAACUGGAAACGGUAGCUAAUACCGCAUACCAUCAGAUGUGCCCAGAUGGGAUUAGCUAGUAGGUGGGGUAACGGCGCACCUCGGCGACGAUCCCUAGCUGGUCUGAGAGGAUGACCAGCCACACGGGAACUGAGACACGGGCCAGACUCCUACGGGAGGCAGAGGGGGGGAAGAUUGCACAAUGGGCGAAAGCCUGAUGCAGCCAUGCGGCGUGUGUGAAGAAGGCCUUCGGGUUGUAAAGCACUUUCAGCGGGGAGGCGUUACCCGCAGAAGAAGCACCGGCUAACUCCGUGCCAGCAGCCGCGGUAAUUC
rnacentral:rRNA from 1 species